AAGCUUACAUAGACGGGGUCAAUGGAUGAUCAAAAAGGUCCAUGACCUAGACGAGUAACCUCCAUUGCACUUAGGAGGGUUGCUGGUCUAAGGCCCACCCAAGUGGUGGUGCCUACGUCAUAAUUUGUGGUAGUGGGGCCGGCAUUCGUGCGGCCCAAA
rnacentral:snRNA from 2 species